AUUGAACGCUGGCGGCAGGCCUAACACAUGCAAGUCGAACGAGAAAGUGGAGCAAUCCAUGAGUACAGUGGCGAACGGGUGAGUAACACGUGACUAACCUACCUUCCAGUGGGGGAUAACCUCGGGAAACCGGGGCUAAGACCGCAUAACCUCGUGAGGUGAGAUUCCUUGCGAGCAAAGGGGUAAGACGCUGGAUGAGGGGGUCGCGGCCGAUUAGCUAGUUGGCGGGGUAACGGCCCACCAAGGCGAUGAUCGGUAGCCGGCCUGAGAGGGCGCACGGCCACACUGGAACUGAAACACGGUCCAGACUCCUACGGGAGGCAGCAGUGGGGAAUUUUGCACAAUGGGGGAAACCCUGAUGCAGCAACGCCGCGUGGAGGAUGAAGUCCCUUGGGACGUAAACUCCUUUCGACCGGGACGAUAAUGACGGUACCGGUGGAAGAAGCCCCGACUAACUCCGUGCCAGCCGCCGCCGUAA
rnacentral:rRNA from 1 species